rfam:Myotis lucifugus cont2.9837, whole genome shotgun sequence.
GGCAGUUCUCGUGUGACACACCCCGGAAUCGGGCUCCCUCCUUUCUGGUUCCGGUGCAUCACCCGAGAACCACA